CAAGUCCUCUAUCCGGUAAGGUGUAGCGAACCGCCGGAGACCUUAAGUCAUGGGCUGCUGCUCGUGAGGGUAGUGGUUAAGCGUUGACAGGGGAACAUACAGGCUCGGUAUUGAGCUUUUGAAAUCAGGGUUGGGAAUGCUGACCGUGUUGGGUGAACGUGAAGGCAAAACAGCCUGCUGCGUGCAGCCAGCAGCAGGCUGUUUGUCUGCGUACAGUCCU
rnacentral:ncRNA from 1 species